CUAACAGACAGGAGUGCAGCACAGUUGGGGCUUGAUGCUAACUGCUCCGACUGGUGAAACCUUUCUCCCAGCACCUAGACUCAAAUGAACAACAUUUAUAAUGGUAAGUUCUUUGCAAAAUAGAAGGCAAAUAUUGUGUUAUGGGGAAAGCAUCAACUAAUAGCUCUUUGGAGAAUCAAAAGAAUAGCAGAGAAUUCAAAAGAAAAUAAAACCUCUUAUGCACUUUCUAAAUAUUAAGAGUUUUGUUUCUGUAGGGAAAAUCAUGUCUACCCUAUCCAUCCGCUUUCUGAAUUGUGGGUUCCACAGCUAUAGCAUUUAUUUAAAAAGUAUGCUUGUUAAGGAAAUACGUAUUCCCCAGAAAAUAUUUGUCCCCUCCCCCCAAAAAUUGUUUGUUGAAUGCUAAAUAUGAUGCUUUAAGUAGUCGCCAUACACAAAAGCAUUUUUUUAGACUGCAAUCCUAUACACAUUUUCCUGGGGUUUACUUCUGAGUAAACAUAGAUAGGAUUGUGCUGGUGAUAGCCGUGUGUGUGUGUGUGUGUGUGUGUGAGAGAGAGAGAGAGAGAGAGAGAGAGAAAGAGAGAGAAUCCAAAAUUGGUUAUAUCAACUUUGAUUUCUGUUUUGUUUUGGAAAUUUACCGGAAUGUACACCAGAGCUAUUUAAUUUUCCUUUUAGAUGAACACAGAGAUGAAUGUUUGACGGAAUUCCCAUCUUUUUACACUAGUACUGCUCUGUCAGUCUUCACCAGCCAUGUGACACCACAUAAUGUAACAGGUGACACAUUCCCCAUCACCUUAUUUCUGUGCCAGGAAAAGUUUCUCCUGCUUAAUUGUUUCAAUUCAUCCGGCUGCCAGUUCAGAAGCAGGGUCAGGAAAAAGCUAGCAGUUUUGGUCUGGGAGUUUCUUCAGCAAUCGUAACACUGAACUUGCGGAAGGGCAAUCCUAGCCAAAUCAUCUCAAAAUAUGUCCCUUCAAUUUGUUGAGAUGGUAAAGCAUUUAUAACUCAGCUCAACAGAGCACAGUGCAAUGACACUGUAAACUUACAGUUGCGAAGGGUCUGUCUUUCUUCAGUUUGCAAGAAUACAAUGCCCCUUAUUUUCCAAAAAUUACCUGGCUGGAGUAAAUUACAGUAGCAAUAAUUUAACAACUGUGGGAGAGACCAUAAAACUUUCUGCCCCUUAUUAACUACUGUGUGACUAUUAGGUUUAUGGAGGAUGUUAACAUUGCACAAUAGGAGGAGAGAGGGGGAAAACCCCAUUGUAAACAGGCCUCCAAACUGCUGGAAAGCAAUUUUCCCCAUGAGAGGUAAAGGGGGCCUUGCCAACUUCUCUGAGGUAUGUGAGGGGUCAUGCGCCAAUCAUCUAAAGCAAGUCAAUUCCCUGCUGCUAAGUAAAUAAACUUAAUUGCAAAUUUGUGGCGUACUGAGACGUUUUAAAGUAAGCACGCCAUCGAGAACGCCGAAAUCUCCAUUCUAAGUUCAUGGAGAAAGAAAACGGCCUCUUUAAAAAUCAGCUUGCUGCUCACGGCUCCCCUGAACAGUGCCUCCAGGCAAGUGGUUAAAAAUACGAUUUUUAUAAACAAACCUGACAUUGCAAACUUAAUGCAAAACCCUGUGCAUAUAUCAUAACUUACGCGUUCGCAACUUGUUUAAAUUAGAGCCAGAAAGAGGGUGUGUGUGUGUGUGUGUGUAGGGAGGGAGCAAGCAAGCAAGAAGGAAACAAAAUUGGCAGAUUAACUCUUUCUUAAACAAUGCUCACAAGGUGGUAGCGUAUUUUGCAGCUUCAGAUGUGGCUCCACUAGCUGUGCUCUGGUUAUUGGUCUCCUAUGUUUCUACACUUAAGGAUGUCCCAGCGCUUUUUGUUCACAGCUCCUCUAUACAGUGUUCAGCUCAACUCUGAGAAAAGGGGUAUGCGCGUGUCUUUCCCCCCUUUCACCCCACUUCCAUUUACCAAAGCCUAUUACUGUCAUAUUGGCACAGUCACAGGAAUCUAAGGUUAUGUUCACAUGAGUCUUGGAAUGCUGUGGGACCAUUCUACAUCUGUUGCACUUUCAAAUUGCUUUCUUCCGUUUCUGUUCACAACUGAGUCAGGGCAGGGCUGCCUUCACCUGCUGAUUUGCUGCCCCAUGCCAAACUCAGUGAAGUGGUUGUCGGCGCAUGUGCCAUCACCUGCACAUACGCAAAAGCCUCCUAAACUGUUCACACCACAGUGUAACCACACCUUCCAUUUUCUGGAAGCUGGUUUGAGGUUAGGCGCAUCAGUGGGGAGCAUUUCUCAAGCCACAGAUGGAUUGUGGCUAAUAUAGUGUGAAGCCAGCUUCAAACUCCAGUGGACGGAGUGCACUGGAAAUGCAGCGAAUACUGAUGUAAAUGCAACCAGAGUGGGAAGGUACAGGAUUAUUAUUUUUUUGUUCUUGUCUUCCUGCAUGUGCCUGUUCAAAGGAACCCAUGCUGUUCAGCUGAAGUGUUCUUGGCUAGAGUUAAGUAGAAUAAAUUUCUUUUUAAAAGCCACCAAACAAAGCAUAAUUUAACUGAAUAAAAACAGCCUAUUGUGUAAACUCAGAAAUGUUUCCAGAUCUGUUUUAUAGAAGCAAAAUCCAGAAGUUCUGUUAGUCAAUCUGCAUAUGAGCAAAGCUGGGCUUGAGCAUCAGGCCUUUAGGGGUUCUGUGUAGUAUUUAGAUUUGAUUCGUCUCACCAUACCAGCAGAGGGACACCGUGACGUGAUUCACAAAUAUUAAACCAUAGUUUAAAGCAAACUGUUGCUGUUGUUUAAUGUGAAAAAGCAGCAUACUGGAUCCUACUGUUCAAAAGUUCCCACAGUGUUCCCCGCUUCCCUUGCUGUGCCUUGUUCAGACCUGGGUUCAUGGUUCAUUUGCUCCAAACAAACCAUGAGUGGUAACAGAUAUUUGUUUGUGGAUUACUACUUGUGCAUACCCUCCAACAUUUCUCUGAUGAAAAUAGGGCUGUCCCAUUCCAUAAUGAUAAUUUUACUAUUUAUACCUCACACAUCUUACUGGGUAGCCCAACCAUUCUGGGCAGCUUCCAACAUAUAUAAAAACAUAAUAAAACGUUAAACAUUAAAAAACUUCCCUAUAUAGGAAUGCCUUCAGAUGGUUCAGGGGUCAGAUAACUCCAUAAAGGUAAAGGUAAAGGGACCCCUGACCAUUAGGUCCAGUCGUGGCCGACUCUGGGGUUGCGGUGCUCAUCUUGCUUUAUUGGCCGAGGGAACCGGCGUAGAGCUUCUGGGUCCUGUGGCCAGCAUGACUAAGCCGCUUCUGGUGAACCAGAGCAGCACAUGGAAACGCCGUUUACCUUCCCACCGGAGUGGUACCUAUUUAUCUACUUGCACUUUGAAGUGCUUUGAAACUGCUAGGUUGGCAGGAGCUGGGACAGAGCAACAGGAGCUCAUCCCAUAUGGGGGAUUCGAACCACCGACCUUCUGAUCGGCAAGUCCUAGGCUCUGUGGUUUAACCCACAGCGCCACCCGCGUCCCUAGAUAACUCCACACCUUCCAACAAUUCUCCAAUGAAACUAGGGACACCCUAAGGAAAAGUGGGACAUUCCGGGAUCAAAUCAGAAACCGGGACAGCUUCACUAAAUCAGGGAAGUCCAUGGAAUAUAGGGACACUUGGAGGGUCUGCAUGUGAUGUGUUUGAAGGAAAUGAACCAUGUGUCCAGGUUUGGACAACGUGAUAAACCAGACUCUGCAGGGUGCAGUGGUGCUAAGCUUUGCUUCAGGCAGAAAAAUCUCUUGGGCCUAUGACUGAAUUAUACUGAAAAGCAAAGAAAACAUGCCUGCUGGAAGCCAGGAAGGGAAGAACCUGAGAAGUCUCUGGUUGAAAAGAACCUUGUACAAAGCUCUAAUGGUCAAACAGUUGAUUGUAUUUACAUAUAUAUAUGUGUGUGUGUAUAAAUUAAAAGCACACUUUUUAUUUUUUAAAAGGAACAUUUGAUGGAGCAAGUAAGCUAACAGAUGAACUUCACAGGUUCUUGUUAACACCUCCAUAUAUGUGGGUGUGUGAGAGAGUGGUAUACCCUUCUUCAUCAUAAGAUCUCAGGGCGGUUCACAGAAUCAAAGGCAAGAUAAAAACAAGUAACCCACAAAACAGCAAAACAAUAACCCCACCCCCUUCCCACAGACACAUUUAGAAGGCUGUAGAAUAUUAAUCAGCAUUAUAUAAAAAUAUAUAUAUAAUGAAGGCGCCAGGCAAACCUCCCUGCGGGAGCAUUCCAUGAACGGCAUACCUCCUCGACAAAAGCAUACCCAUAAUUAACUGAAAGCUACAGGUAGGAAGAGUAAUUAACAAAAGGUGAGGAGGAAUCAUCAGGCACAAGGUAAAGGUCAAAAUCCGCAACUCCUACUUACAGUCCCCACUACAGCACAAAGCACUCAUGGUACUCACUGUUAUGUAGUACAGGCACCUCUGUUUUUGCUGUCUAGGUUUUGUUCCGGCAUCCAUGGCACGUUUAUCAAGAUAUGAGUACUGGCCUCUCAUUUAUUUAUUUUUUGCCCUCCCCAAACACACACACACAAACAGAGGAUGUUGAAUUGCUCUUUCCAGCCUGCCCUCUCCAGUAAGGUUACCAAAAAAUUUUCAAAGAAUCCGGGGACCCUUUUUUUUUUAAAGGGGGGGGGGAGUUAUUUUUAAAAAGUUAUUUAAAAUAAUAAUAAUUAAGAAGCAAUAUCUUCUCUUCUGUGGUCUCCUCUGUCGCGCAGCCUUCCUUUGGGCCUUGGCCUGUUCUCUUGGAGUGCUAGCUGCCGUGGAGUAGGCUCAGGUCAGGCGUGGGCUUGGCCACGUGUCCUUGCCCUCCCAGUGCUCUCCUACCUCUCCUCCUCAGUGGCAGCGGCAGUGGUGUGACAAGGUCGGGGCUCCCCUCUUUUUUCUCCUUCCUUUUUCUCUCUCUUCCUUCUCCUUCUCCUCUCCUCCUUCUCCCUGCUUCAGCUCCUGGGUUUUCCUGGCCCCAGAGCGCCACUGGGCAGUCGGCCGGGUGCUCUCAUUCCCAGCUCGAUUUGGGUCACAGGGAGUGCCAGCGGUUCCCCAGUUGAUGCACUGGGUGUCCCUGGUUCCUCCUUGGCAGUGGCAGCAGCAGUCUCAGCAGCUUGGAGCCAGCCUGGUAGCGCAACUGGCUCUGGCUGGCUUCAGGAGCUGCUCGCUGCCGUGGUGCCCGCCAUUUUGCCUUGCCGGAAGUCCCCAUAUGAUGUGUCUUGUGCCGUUGAACCAAUCACACAACAUGCAUUCCCUACUAAUAAAUCUACAACACUUAAAAUAUUAAUCCGGGGACAUUAAAUGAAAUCCGGGGAUGGAUUUUGUCCGGGGACAGAUUUGUAAAUCCGGGAUGGGGACAUCUGGUAACCAUACUCUACAGGGAAGGAAACAUUUUGUGAAGAGGACCAGGAACUAAUCCAAACAUCCCAGACACAUCCUGAUUCUAGACCAGGACGGUUGCCAUAUUUGGCAUUAGGGAACUGGAAUUUCCAGAAGGGCUUCUCCUUUGUGUGCCGUCUUGCGGUGUCAUCCAAGGUCAUUUUAUACCACAGGUAUAAUAAGGAAGAUAAUGAGCUGUGGUCACAUGUAAUGAUGCUGGGAUCCAGGUAAUAGAAGAAGCAUUCUUAUUGCUCCUUCCUCUUCGUUGGCUGACUGUAGAUCAUUUGCACAUCAAAUGCAGAUAACGUUUCCAAGUUUGGCAUAGCCGCGGCUCUUUUGGGUAAUGAAGAUUAGGUUACAGUGCCCCCUAUAUCAAAAGGGCCAAACCUAGCUAGAAAUUCCUAAAGAGAGACUAGGUUCAAGGAAAUGUCUCAUUUUAGUUAAAAUGUGGUCUGCUUCAUCUGGGAGGCUUUGUUAAGCUUCUGUCUGAGAUAGAUCAUCUCUCAGUCCAGACAAGGGCUUCGUUUUUACAACAAAUAUUGAGAAAAUGUGGGGGAAGAGAAACUCACAAGCUCAACUGGUUGUCAAAGACCUCUUUAAAUAGUUUUACAGAUGAGUAAGUUGCAGAUCCAGACAGCAGACUUUUAAAUCAUCAUAAAGUUGACACAAACUGAUCCUACUCAUAAUUGAGUAUGGUUUUUGUUUUUUUGUUCUGUUUAUUACUUUAAGGCUCCUGACAAUUACAAAUAGUUUGCAUUUAGUCUCAAUUGUGUUCUGAGCUGAUUGCAUUGUCACAAUCCAUUUAUCUCAACCUCGUAGCAGGGUCUUACAUUUUUUUAACCCCCAUUCUGUUCCUGAAAAUUUCUAGCAGACUAGCCUGCUAGACAGCCUACAAAAAGGGCUACUUAACAUUCUCUUGUUGUUUGGGAUGUGGUAGCUUUUGAACCAACGUAGUUAAGAGUAGUAACCCCAGCAGUAGCAUACAGAUAGGGAGAUCUUAACAAAUUUUCUCUACCUUGCAGGAAAUGUCUUAAAGGACCCAUUUCUAUCCAAGUUAUUUUGAAGUGUGCCAAUACUGUGCAAUAUGAAAAUAGCUUUUUUUAAAGUAUUCAUCUACAAUGGGAUUAUUAUUUUUUUAAAUAAAUGAACAAGAAAACACCCACCGUUGUUCAUUUUCUGUUGUGUACAGACUUAAACUCAAGAUAAUUUUGUUCAAAGAUCCAAACAGCUACUACAACGAAACAAUCUGGUUUGCCAGAAAACUGUAGAUCACAUUGUUUCUCUAGCGAGAACAAAAUGUUCAUGUGUCCUGGUAACUGUAUGUACUUUUACGACCCUUAAUCAAAAUAAUUAGGAUCAAUGUGAUACGUGGAACUGUUAGGCUUUUCAGAAGACAUAUUCUGCAAUCUUUCUAAGGUCUAUUCAAAAGCAGUUCUCAGACCUCACACAGUUGAUCAUAACUGGGAUUUCAUUGAGGAUUUAAACAAGUAACUUCAAGUAAACUACUGAUUGCAAAGGAUGCCUUGGGAAUGUAACCCAGUUUGCUGCUUUGUCCCGCUGCAUGAAAACAAAUUGUCAGAUGUAAGUUCAGACAAUUUACUCUGGUGACUGUUAGGAUACUAAUUUAUUAGCUUAAGAAAGGCAGGAGUUCAUGGCAAGUGGCUUGGGAGUUACAUGCAAACAUUAGGAUACUUAUAUGGCCCACGUAAGACUCCCCAAUUUUGUUUUAUUUUUAAAUCAUGUUCCUAGCACUUCUCAUGUAAUUUCACAACCACUUCUUUGGGGAUUCACUUUUGAAUAAGCGUUAUAGCAUCAUGCUGCCUGUUUGCCGAUGGGGUAGAGGAAUCAGAAAAAGAAGGCAUGUUAAAACCAAAGUCCAAACUAAAUAUUAAUAAGGAUUGAUAAUGAUUGUGUAAACAUAUUUCACAGGCUACAUCAAAUUCUUAAUUGAUGGAAACAAUUUCAAAAUGUGCUCCGAAAGGAUCUCUUCUAUUGUUGGAGAAGCAUAUUAUUGCCAAUCUACAUGUGUUAAAAAUAUGUUAAUUACAUGCAACUGUGUAUAUGAAAUAGGUGGCAUUUGUAGAUCAACAUGAUGGCUGAAUAUGGGCUUAGUAGUAAAUAAAUUCAAAGAGUUUGCAAAAAGCGUCCACCCCGAAGGAACACAACACAGUCUAUCAAUACUUUCUGUGUCACUUUGGGGGAAAAAAACCCGCCCACCUCUCCCUAAUUUUAGGGCAUUUUGCGCUUGACCUUGCUAUGCCAUCGUGUGUCGUCUGUCGUUGGGACAGGGGCACAGCAGGAAUUUUCCCCACUUGGCUGAUUGACUGUUGCCAUUGGGUUUCAUCACAACUUGUAAGGUUGUGGAUAGGCACUGGUUCAUGUGAUAGGGAUGGGAGAACGGUUUCGCCAUCUCUGUGUGAAGGGUAUUCCGUUAAAGAAAUCCAGGGACUCAACUUGGUUUGGUCAACCCCUGAAAGGGGGUUGUGCCCGUGCCUGAGUCCAGGGGGGCAUCUGGGGAGUGAACAGAGUCUGUUCCCAGGUUUUUCAUCUGCCUCAGGUGUUCACCCCUGGCUGACCUAUGAUAGAGCUCUGGGUCAGCGCUACCUGCAAGGGUGUACAGAGCUAGUUGAAUCAGAGCCUAUGUAACCACUCAUUUUUCUGUAAUCAAAAAAGUUGCGGCCUAAAUUCUGCCAAAAACCAAAACUAUAAUUUGAGUCAAAUGUGUCUUUAUUUAAGGGGGAGGUCAGUGUGGUGUAGUGGUUAAGAGCAGUGGACUUGUAAUCUGGUGAACCGGGUUCGCUUCCCCGCUCCUCCACAUGCAGCUGCUGGGUGACCUUGGGCUAGUCACACUUCUUUGAAGUCUCUCAGCCCCACUCACACCUCACAGAGUGUCUGUUGUGGGGGAGGAAGGGAAAGGAGAUUGUUAGCCGCUUUGAGAGUCCUUCGGGUAGUGAUAAAGUGGGAUAUCAAAUCCAAACUCCUCCUCCUCCUCCUCCUCCUCCUCCGCCGCUGCUGCUGCUGCUGCUGCUGCUGCUGCUGCUGCUGCUUCUUCUUCUUCUUCUUCUUCUUCUUCUUCUUCUUCUUCUUCUUCUCCUCUUCUUCUUCUUCUUCUCUGGGUGUGAACACGCAACAUAUAUUCUUACUGUUUGCAUCUGAUGCACGGAGUGUUCUGUCAAAUAAUUGUUCUCCUAUUUGAUCUAGAGAUUGCUGUAGAAUGCAGGGCAGAAGGCUGCUUUCAACAUUAGCAGGCACCAAAGCUUUAAGAAUUAUAAAGCAAAAUCUGAAAAACUUAAGAAACAAUGAUUUGUGUGCAUGUAAAAUUUGCUGGUGGAGAUAUACGUGCAGAGAGAUUCCAUUUUAAAUGUCAUAGAUAUUUCCUUACUGGGAUAUAACACUCUUCCACUCCUCUUAAUUUUUUUAAUUAAGUAUAAAUGUUAGAAGAGGAGCAACCUACUCAGUAGACAAUGCUCUAGUACGUCACCAGCAUUGUCAUAAUGAUGCAUUAAUGUAAUGGAUCAUCAGAGACUUGUCAGAGAGAUUUAUUACCCCCCAAAUACUUCAAGGAGGUAGGAAAGUAUCAAGAAUGGAGUUGACUGACUGUUUAUUUUGCUAAACUAAGGACUUUUAAAGUAAGCUUAAAAACCCUUUUUUCACUUCAGGAAAUAGCUGAAAGGAAAGGACCCCAGACCAAAAAAAGAAAAGAAAAGGGGUUUAAGUCAACAACAUGAUGAGGACUCAGGAGGCAUCAUAAAUGCCUCGAAAGAUAUCCUACUUGAUGCAACAGAGUUUACAUAAGGUCUCUGAAGCACAGAGUUUUAUACAAAACACAUUCAAUGUUUCCAAUGAAUAUUUUAAAAGUUAAAUUUAACAAAUGUUAACUGGGUUUCUCUGUGUAUUUAUUUCUAAAAAUGAACUGGUUAUACUUAGUUACGAAAAGCAAUACAGAGAUAAGUGGAAGAGAUACCGCUGGCCAUUGUAAAUAAUCUUUCACAGCCUUAUGUAUACUUGCAUUCAGCAUCUCAGAAUACUCCCUUGCUGGAUAAAGUUUGUUUAUACGUUAUACAUCUGCUUUGUAGUACGUUUGGUUUGGUACAGAUCCGGUCUUGUGCCAGUAUUUAGCCUUUGAUAGAGUCAACCAUCUGCUCUGGGCUGCAUUACCAAGCAACUCAACUCCGAGAAGACCUGGUCCCAGCAUGUCAGAAGCUUCUGCCAGCCUCACAGCAUCCAUGAGCACCUCUUAACUGUUUUGCACCCUCUUGAGCUCUCUCUUCAAAGUUCUUUUCAACUUUCCCUUACGGCUUUUGGUUUGGUACAGUUCAUAAGAUGUACAUCAGAGCGUCCACACACCUUCAAAAAGUCACACAUUUCUAACCAUUAACAACCCCAGGGAUUUGCAACUGAUAAGAGCCCGCACAUGUUGGACUCUACAAAAAAAUGUAAUGUCAAAACGAAAAAGAAAAGAAAGAAGUUGCUUAGUGUGUAUCAUUGAAGUAGGAAAGUGUGUACGGAUAGGGCGGAAGAGAACAGGAUGAGGGACACAGAUUGCAGCACACUGUGUACACACCUAACUUAAGCAGGCAAAUAAAUAAAUUGGACUGUGCAUAGCAGGGACCCGGAUCCUUGUACAUAUGUGAGCAUUCUCACAUGACAGACAACACAGGCCUUAAAGCAAAGAUCCCCUGAGAGAGUUGGAGGAAAGAGAAAGAGGGACACCCCACUGCAAACUGCCUUUGGUAUGAGCCAAGAAAUUGGUCUAAAUCACAGAGCCUAGGGCUUGCUGAUCAGAAGGUCGGCGGUUCGAAUCCCCGCGACAGGGUGAGCUCCCGUUGCUCGGUCCCUGCUCCUGCCAACCUAGCAGUUCGAAAGCACGUCAAGUGCAAGUAGAUAACUACUCCCGCUCCAGCGGGAAGGUAAAUGGCAUUUCCGUGCACUGCUCUGGUUCACCAGAAGCGGCUUAGUCAUGUUGGCCACAUGACCUCGAAAAACUGUCUGCGGACAAACGCCGGCUCCCUCGGCCUGUAAAGCGAGAUGACCGCCACAACCUCAGAGUCGGUCACGACUGGACCCAACAGCCAGAGGUCCCUUUACCUUUUCCUAGCCAGGAAGGUAGGGCUCCACUUUGUUCUCAGUCCAAAUAACAAAGAAGUGCUUCUGGCGGGGUUUUCUUCUAAAUCUGAGCAACCCUUUUAGCCUUUUGCUUUUUAAGGGGUAGGGGAAAAAAUCCGAAUGACUGAUUCUCACACUGAAACUCCUUUUACUUUGCUGAAGAAGCAGCCCCAGUGCAGAGAAGAAGAAGGAAAAAAUGCCACAUCAAUCCCAACCGUUCAACAUUAAACAGUUCAGUGUUAACAUGAAACAUAGCCAGUGAGCAGUCGAAAUGGAGAUGGGGGCAAGCGACAGAUGAGAGCUGAAAGUAAAUAUGGGCCCAGGGCAUGGUCCAAAGGCACAGCAGGCACCAACUCUGCUAAAGCUAAGCAGGUCUGUGUCUGGUUACUGCCUGCAUGGAAGACUGCCUGGGGACCCUAUGUAGACAUGUGUGAUUUCCCCCAGGAAGGCAGGAUAUAAAUUUUGCGUUAAAUAGUAUGCUAGACACAGUUGCCCAUGGUGUGUACAUUCAUCCCAAUAUCAAAUGUGGAGUGUUCAGGCGCGUGAGUGAGGUGAACACAUUGUGCAGCGUAUAUAGCUGCCACAGAAUUUUGGCCACCCCUGCUGCCACCCUGGUCAUGCUGCUCCCCAUCCCAAAAUUUGAGGCAGCAGCAGAAAGGGAUGCUCCCUCCCUUUAGAAAGAAUUAAUGGAUGGGGUCAAGCAGCUGAGUGCAAGGCCCAUUGAAGCAUCACUCAAAGUUCCAGGCACACAACGAAGAUGGCAGGCACAGCUGGGACCUCAGCCAGCACUUCAAUGAACAUUGUGCCUGGUCUCAUGAUCCUGGCUCUAGAUAUUUUUUAAAUAUUUGGGGGGAAGGGGCGUUGCACCCCAUGCCAAGAGGUGAGACGGCGGCCAUUUUCUGCUGUGUUCCCAACCUUGGUUUGUCAUAAAAAUGCUUAGUCAAGCAUUUUGAACGGAACAAAUUCAUACACCAAAGCAAAUAAUCACAUAUUUUGGCCCUUUGAGGGUAUCUGAUGUGCUACUUUCUCCAGCAGACCCAAGUUGGACUAAUUUCAUAGCAAUUUCAUAUUUGAUAACGAUGAUCAGAACCACAUUUGCCUAAAGAGGAAUGGUCCCACCGUUCACAGUUCCUUAUUUUCAUUCUCAAUCAACCAUGAAAAUUUCAAUAGGGUGUAAGAGCUGACAGUUUUUGAGUUCCAUUUUAUGUCCAGUAUUUCUAUGCUGAAGGUUUGAGAUCUAGGUAGUUUUCCUACAUAUUUAACAAGCACCAGCUGGUUUUAAAGCCCAGGUCAGUGGACCGGCCCAUUGUUCAAGUUUUCAAAGGGAUAUCAAUUAAGUUGACAACAUUUUACAAUGGCCAGGGAUCUAAAGAACUAUUUUAGGUGUGCCCAAGGGCAUUUUAAAAACCUUUUCUCACAGCAAGCUCCUAUGCCAUAUCACAGAGUGUUUUCAAAAACCAGGAAAAAACCCCAGGAUCAAUAACAGCUGCAUUACAAAGACAAACAGAAUAAAAAAAAAACCAGCUGCACAGGUGGAUUUGGUUGCCAAUGUCCUAUGAGGAAACUAUCAAGUGAAAACUUUUAAUGCUCAAUAAUAAUAAAAAUUAUAAAAAUAUUGGGAAACAUUUUCUGCAGGAGCACAUCAAAACAGAAGAGGUCAUUUUGAAAGCCCACUCAGUUUCAAAAGAGGUGUGCUAUGUGGUAUAGAAAGCUGCUUUUAAAAAAAGGAACAUAAGCUUAAAGCCCCAUUUGACGUGCAAAACUAAUUGUUCAGCCAUUUGAAUCUUGGUUCAUAGUAGUAGUAGUAAUGUCCAUUGAACCAUUUCUACUAAGAAGGAACCCCCAUUGAAUUUAAUGGGGCUUACUACCACAAAUGUGGGGUUAGGGUUGCUGUGUUAGUUUUGUUUCAAAAUUCUUAGACGUGUGCUGCAGGGGUCAAAGUACUGUUACCAAUCUUGAUGCAAUAUUUUCUGGAAAGCUUUCCUAAAGCAAAGCAAAUACAUUCAGAACCAGGAUCACUGAGAUUUUUGCACUUAGUAAAGGGCUUGUCUGGUUAAGUAAGUUAUGUGAAACCCAAAACAGCCCUGUUUUUCAAGGUAUACUUCAUUGUUCCAGCUUAUUUGUUCGCCGCCACCUGUCUCCCACACAUUACGGCACCGAGUGCGCGUUUCAAAACAAAAGUAAUAACACAAUUGUCUCACACCACACAUAUUCCCAGUGGAAAUUAAAAUGCAUGCUUUUUCUCAUCAUUCUUUAUUUAACAACUGGGAGGGUUUUAAUAUUCGAAACUCAGCAAGAAAAUUGUCAGGAAACACAGAGAUGCCUUUUGAGAUUUCAAAUUCCACUUUCAUUGUUUUCCUUUCAUUUUAGGUGAGUGUUUGUUUUCCAGCCAAGUGACUGUAUCCUGUGAUGGAAUGAUGGCUAAUGGGAUUUUCUGCGAUGAUUUCUCAGUCAAUUAUAGCACUAGAAGACCUAUGCAGAUGGAUAUGAAAUCAUCCCCAAUGAAAUCAUCCCUGUUUCUAAUUGCAGGAAGAACAAAAACAACAAAAAAAACCCAAAACCAUCUAGCCAGGGGUCCUACACAUGUGAAAGAAGGCUUGAGGAAGAUGAACUGGAAACCUACACAUGCAACCGGUGUAGUAUAUAUGGAACCCCCCUCUCCUCAAAUCCAGCUUCUAGGACCAGCUUCUAGGCCUUUUAGAAAAUCAACAACAAGGCCAGUUACCUUUUAAGGAAGGAGAACAGAGAGGAACUGAAUUUGGCUUUUCUUCCUAUUCCUCUUUUCUCUACGAACUGUUGAGCAACACAGUUCACACAUGCACAGAUAGAUCAGGGCCUACAUCUUUUGCCAGGCUUAUUGUUACGGAGCACAUUUCAGAUCUAUUUCUCUAUCAUAUAAGGGUGCUUCAAGUGCUUCAUUUCUCCCCUUGCACAUAUAAGGAAGCAGCUAUAUCCAGAGAUGUUUUGUAUAACAUUGCUAAUAUGAGGCCCAUAAAUGUGAAGAACCGAAGACAGGAAAAAUGAGAAACAGAGAUGAAACUGGAACUGGGAUAUUUCUCCAUCACUAGCAUAGUUCCCCUCUGAAUUAAGACUUGUGUGCACAUACUGUAGGCUUCCCAAACAUUUGUGAGUGUAAUAUAACAUUACAGAUAAACUCGCUCUGUGGUGAUAAAUUCACUCUACUGUAAUUAAAAACAACACUUUUACCCAGAAUAAACACCAACAUUCUUUGUUACAAAAUUGUUGCUGCGCCAUACACCGCUCUGUUUUAAUUUAGAGAGCAUUCGCUGCUGAUUCUUUUAAAAAAAGCAAUAACUUUUCAACUUUUUUUUAUAAAAAUAACCUGCUGAAAUUUCAGAAUGAAAGAAAAUUCAGUCUGUGAUUUCAGGAUGUUUUGUGCAACAGCAGGGGUGAUGGGAAUGAAGCAAGACCAUGUUUUAAAAGUGCACUGUUUGUGCGGUACAUUAAAAUGUGUACUGCAUUUGCUAAAAUGACACAUGGGGGGGGGCGAAGCAACUGUGGAGUUAGUUCAUGCAGUUCUGAGAUAUAAGUCAUCGAGAAUUCAGGCCAUAUCUUCCAGAGUGAAUCAUCUCUUGUCUGCAUGGAAGAUGGCAUGCAUAACCUGUUUACUGAAAGCUUUAUCACCGAGGAAAUACAAUUCUAAGCAUCAUCAUGUUGAGCACCUUUAACAUUUGCAAUUCCCUUGAAAAAAAAACCACAGUAAGUAAGUCCAUAGAUGUAAAUAGAAAUAAGAGAGUUGUAUUGCCUUCCUUAUGCGAAUAUUAUGGCACACAUGUCAACAGUUGUGUGUGGGAAGCCAGUUUAAAAAUGAGCUAUUGAUGAUUCAGAGUCAAAUUUAUUAAUAAAAGCGCAGCACAAGGGCAAUUUAUGACACACACACACACACACACACACACCCUGCUGGAAGGUUAAGUCCCGAAGAUGCUCCCCUGGUCUUUUACUUCUUGCACAAUGCCCUAUGGGUUUUUCUGAAAGCGUAGGAUGCUAACACAAAAGGGGUGGGCCCUAUUUCUGUUGUCGGGUGGUGCUGUGGUCUAAAGCACAGAGCCUAGGGCUUGCCGAUCAGAAGGUCAGCGGUUCGAAUCCCCGCGACGGGGUGAGCUCCCGUUGUUCGGUCCCUGAUCCUGCCAACCUAGCAGUUUGAAAGCACGUCAAAGUGCAAGUAGAUAAAUAGGUACUGCUCUGGCGGGAAGGUAAACGGCGUUUCCGUGCGCUGCUCUGGUUUGCCAGAAGCGGCUUAGUCAUGCUGGCCACAUGACCCGGAAGCUGUCUGCAGACAAAACCAGCUCCCUUGGCCAAUAAAGCGAGAUACGCACGCAACCCCAGAGUCGUCCGUGACUAGACCUAGAUCAGAAGUACCUUUAUCUUUAUGGGAAUAAUGCACUUGAAGCAUUUAUCAGGCACAGGAUUCAGCUGCAGCAGCUAAAGUCUGUCCACAGGAUCAGGCUGUAUAUCAGAUGCAGCUUAUCAAAUGCACAUUGUUUUUUACUAGAACCCCAAGAACUACCAACUAGAAAGUGGAUACAGAGUUUUCCUCUCCCUGUCUCAGUCACAUUGAAUUCAAUGGCACUUACUUUCAAGUACCGUAUUUUUUGCUCUAUAACACGCACCCGACCAUAACACGCACGUAGUUUUUAGAGGAGGAAAAUCCGUAGGCAUGCCACCCAUAGGCAUUCCCUCCAUAACACGCACAGACAUUUCCCCUUACUUUCUAGGAGGAAAAAAGUGAGUGUUAUGGUGCAAAAAAUACGGUAAGUGUUAUAGGUCUGCAACCUAUUUUUUUCCCCUUUGAGCAUAUGAUGGAAAAUGUUGGCUUUUGAGUCUUCUAACACCACUAUCACUGUCAAACCACCCCUUUCCUCCUAGGCCUUUCUCAUAAAAAAUCUGAUGUUCUAUUUCAUUAUAUAUUCCUGUUACUAAAAUGUCAUUAACCAAGUGGUGUAUUAACUGAUGAUGUUAAGCUGGUUAGUGGGAGAAUGUAAGUGUCACUUUGAUGACAUAAAGUGGCUGUUAUGAUUAUAUAAUAUCAAUUAUUCCUUCAGAAAUUGCAUUAGUUCUGAACCAGUGUAGUUGGAGGGAGGUUAAUCCCCCCACAAGGCGUUUGUCUAAUAUUUAUUAUUAACAGUAAAAUCUAUUUUGGAUUAAACCUAGAUUUUUAAUAACUUUAAUAACUUUUAAUAACUUUUCACCCUUGGAAACACUAUACCUGCCUCUCAGUUCCUCUGGUUGCUGUCACAUCAGAGGAGAGUGUCUUCCUCACUUUACUGCUUCUACAGAAUCGAGGUUUAUGGGCUGCAUAUUUGAAGAAACAAUAAACACAUUUUAAAGAGCAAAUCAAAUUUAGAAGUACUAGACACUCCACGAAAGCCUUGUACAUAGUUUUUACAAUUUCUUUUAUCUGAAGCGCUUAAACUUUGUGAAAUACUCAACCUGUUUCAAAAUGUUUUCCCCCACCGCCUUACUGAGACACAGGGACCGAGAGGAUGUGAAAGGGUGCGGAGUCAGGUCGUGUGAGGAGAUUUUAUUAGCUAUACACAGGGUGACACAGAAACUCCAGAAAAUGGGGCAAAUCAAAUAAAUAAAUAAAGAGUAAAAAAUUCUUCCGAAAGCAAAGUGGAAACGCAAGUUUUGAUUCUGUUUUAUAAACAAAUAUGUGAUCAUUAAAAAAUAAACUUGGGAUGGAGGUAUUGCCAAUCUCGGUCCUCUCAGCUCCUCUUUCAUCCAACCUUAAAUUCCAUAUUUCUGCAGCGAUUUAUACUUAAAAAACAACAACUGAAUCCUCUUGAAAAUUCAGCAUUUAGUGCAACAUUCAAAGGAUAGCGUGUUUGCUUCACUUUUUGUUUCAGAAAGUGUGAAUUUUACAGAUUCACCUUUAAAUAUGAACUGAAUCAAACCCCCCCCAUCCCUACUGAAAAACAAAUAAACAGGACAGUCCUAGAGUUGUAUACUUACAGACAAGCCCCUCAGACUUCAGUGGGACUUACGUCCAGGUAAAAGUGCAUAGAAUUAAAGCCAAAAUCUCUCAAAGAGUUCUUUUCAAAUGUAAGCCUAUUUAAAACAUGGGUGGGCAAACUAAGGCCCGGGGGCCGGAUCCGCCCCAAUCGCCUUCUAAAUCCGGCCUGCGGACGGUCCGGGAAUCAGCGUGUUUUUACAUGAGUAGAAUGUGUGAUUUUAUUUAAAAUGCAUCUCUGGGUCAUUUGUGGGGCAUAGGAAUUUGUUCACCCCCCCAAAAAAAGUAUAGUCUGUCUGCCCCCCCAAGAUCUGAGGGACAGUGGACCAGCCCCCUGCUGAGAAAGUUUGCUGACCCGAUUUAAAAUAAUCCACACAAUCAUACAAUUUUCAAAGCUAUGUUGUAAUCAAUAAGGUCUCUUUCACAAGGAAAGGUUUUAAUGAGUAUUGUUACAGACCCACUCCUAAACCAGCCAUGUUGUGAUGGCAUCCACAGCACUGUUAUCAAGAUAUGUACACCAGUACCUCAUUUAAAAACAAGAAACCAACCCCUCCCAAAAAAAACCCCAGAAAAAGGAUUGCCUUAAACUAUGACAUUUUGUGAUCCUUGUGUACAUCAAGGAACCAUCUGUCAUGGAGCUCAGCCCAGUUCCACCAUGUUUUCAUGAUGAAUGCAAACAUUUAAAAAUACACAUGCAUUUCAAACCUCACCAUUUUAAUCAGCACACAGCACAGGUCUACGGGAGAGGCUUGUGAAAAAUCGUACCGGGACAAGUGACCCCACCAUAUAUGUUCACGUCAGAUCACAACAAUAUUCCCAAAGAAUUCCAUAUUGGCAUCAACUUAAUGAAUUACUAGUUUAUAAUAAUAAAUCUUUCUGGAAUUAAUUACAAUGGGAAGGAAUUGCAAUAAAUAAUU